UGUUUUUGAAUAAUUGAUAAUUUGUUAUGAGAGCUAGAAAUUUGUGAAGUGAAUCACAAUGUGAAGUUAAAUAAUUCCUUUCCGUGAGGAAUAUUUAUUGGACUCAAUUUCGUGUUGGAUCCGAUAAAUUGAAUAAAUAAUACAAAAAUCCAGUCUGGUAGAAAAUAAAUUGUGGGCUAUGUAAUGUAAAUAAAAUACAAAUGAUGUUGAGCCCAAACAAAUUAAUCCUACUAAAUGACUCCAAGAAAUUAGAAGAUCCGCAGAGUUUCUCUUCUCCAAAUCUGCCUUAUUUCUUCUUCCAAUCAGCAAAUAAUUAUACAAUUUGAGAAUUUGUCAAAGGCAACAAUAAGAGUCCAAAUUAAAUGUGAAAUCAACUAACACGUUUUUUCCUCCAUAUCUUCAAUCUGCUCCAAAAUUAAAUCACACAUCAACCUUUAAUUGCUAUUAUUUUGAGAAUCAAUUACCUAUUUUACGUUCCCUCUCCCACGCUCAUAACCGCUCCUCCUUCUUGCAAAUCUUUCCUAAUUUUUGACCACAAUCAAAGUGAAAUCAAUCACCAAAAAUGACUCUCAAUACACAGCUAUAUAAAUCCUCCUACCCUAAUCUCUUUCCCUCACAAAUUCGCAGCCACUCAAAAAAAAACGGCGGAGGGAGCAGUAGAAAGGGAGGAACCAGAGCUUCAAUCUUUUGUUUCAAAGCCAAUUCGUUCUUUUGAAGGUGAUAUCUUGCGCGCGAAACUUGAUUCCAAGGGAAAGGAUAUAGUUGAGACUUAAGCGCUUUGAGGUUGAGCGGCGACGAGCGGUUGGCGGUGUUGAGCAAAUUAACUUAAAAAUCCUAUUGUCUUGAACUCCGAGUGUCGUCGUGUCUUCAUACACGACUUCACUCAUCUCUUGGAUGCCUCCGCUAAAACGUGAUUAUUUUGUCGUUAAGUUGAUACUGAUAUUUUUUUUUAUUCUCUUUUUGAAUAUUGAAACACGUUACGUUUUGAAUUAUCUUAAGCCAUGCCUUUAGACCUAAAGUAUGAUAGUCUUUC